ensembl:lncRNA
UGCACAUCGUGCUUUAUUUUAUGGGUGGGUGAUAUCUUUUAACUCUUGCAAAAAGUGGAUUUAAGUGAGGCUGAGCUGUUCAGAAUCAUCAGGCUCACUCUCUUCCACAGUUAUCAAAGUCCAGUGGCAAGACAAAAGUCUGGAUAACUGGCAAUGGCUCAGGACGUGGUGGAUGACCUUGGCUUCUUCAAUGUCUAAGCAAUCCAAAGCACUCACAGUGCCUGUUUCAGCUGCCUUCGUGGCUCAAGCAUGGAACAAGUUGUUUCUCAUGUGCCCAUUUUGCUGGGGGUAUGGGGGGAGUCUUCACAUGCUCGGGGUAGCCACCCCUCUCACUUACCGAUGGGCUUGUGGGCCCUCAGUUACCCUCGACCUGGUUUAGACAGACUGCUAGGAUGCUUUACUGGAAUGUGGCUGCUACGUAUGCUGCAACUUCUUGGUGCCACAGGUCCAGACCAAAACACGGAGCCUGUAUUCAGAGGUACCUGGAUGUUUCCAGGCGGAUUUACAAGUGAACAUGAUGAGGAUCCAGACAAGUUUUUCCGAAAAUUUGAGGCCAAAAAGAACCCUGCCAGCUGAGGGGGCCGAAAUGAGUGUCACAAGGAGGAGAUCCUAAACUGGAUCUGGGAAGAAGACAAGGAAUCCCAGAGGAGAAGCGGAAAGAGCACAGUCCAAGCAGGGGGGAGCAUCACUAUCACUGAACAAUCAAUCAGGGGAGAGCCAGCAGCACCUUUGUCUGAAGAAUAAGUGAAAUGAGGCUGGAGCUCUCUCAUUAGAUGUCAGACCCACCUGGUAAGGAGUAAAUGCUCAGACCUCAGAAGGUGAUCCUCAGGGCCUCAUCAGUGUGCAAGAAGGGUGCAGAGGUGGGCUGAAACAAAUGCCAAUCACAUCCCAGCAGCUAGAAGUGAGUGUCAUGUUUCAGUGCCCAAGGCUAGCUGCUGUGCCAGCCCACCCUAACCCACCAGCUCAAGGUCACCAGGGCCACUUUCCUUGUUUGCUGGGCUCCAGCUGGCCCAACCAGUGCAAGAAAAGUGGCCGGAGGCACAGUCGGAUGCAUUUCCCUUCCUUAAUAGAAAAGUAUGAUCACUCUGAGUAAUUGAAUUUCUCUCUUCAGGAUGUGAAGAAGAAAACUAGUUAGGAAGGAAAAAAGAAUCUCUACCCACUCUCCCUCUCUGGAGCCCAGAUACUUUUGCUCCUGCUGCUGAUUCUCCACCAAUUCUUUGCAGAGAAUCAGUCUCCCCACUGAUAAAAUUGAGAUAACAACAAUAGCCCAUAUCUCCCAGGAUUGUCAUGAGGACGCACAGAGACGUCCCACCUUAAAUGCUUGGUAAGUGGAAGCUAUCUCAGUGAUGAAGGGACCAAGAAAAUGGGAUACCCACGCACAGCUUCUGCAAACAGACCCAGCAGACUCGGACACAAAGGUCUCCGGCAAUUUUUUCCACUGUGUUUUUGUCUUUAUUUUACUCCAAUAACAAAUUUACACAUAAGUUUUCCUAAGUUACACAUUCAUGUGGUCUCCCUCACCUCUUCCUUCCCCCUUCCUGGAGCUGACAAGCAAUUCCACU